AGAGUUUGAUCCUGGCUCAGGAUGAACGCUGGCGGUGUGCCUAAUACAUGCAAGUCGAUCGGGCGUAGCAAUACGUCAGAGGCGUACGGGUGAGUAACACGUAGGUAACCUACCUUUAAGACUGGGAUACCCAGACGAAAGUUUGGCUAAUACCGGAUAACAAUGAUUGAGACAUCUCUUUUAUUUGAAAGGCGCCUUCAAGCGCCACUUUUAGAUGGACCUGCGUCGCAUUAGCUAGUUGGCGGGAUAAAAGCCCACCAAGGCUGGGAUGCGUAACCGAUCUGAGAGGAUGACCGGCCACAAUGGGACUGAGACACGGCCCAUACUCCUACGGGAGGCAGCAGUGGGGGAUAUUGCACAAUGGAGGAAACUCUGAUGCAGCAACGCCGCGUGAGGGAAGACGGUCUUCGGAUUGUAAACCUAAGUUAUCAGGGACGAAUACAAUGACGGUACCUGAAGAGAAAGCUCCGGCUAACUACGUGCCAGCAGCCGCGGUAAGACCUACGUU
rnacentral:rRNA from 1 species